CUACCAUGGCUUUCACGGGUAACGGAGGAUUAGGGUUCGAUUCCGGAGAGGGAGCCUGAGAAACGGCUACCACAUCUAAGGAAGGCAGCAGGCGCGUAAAUUACCCGAUACUGAUUCAGUGAGGUAGUGACAAGAAAUAGCGGGCCGGCUCAAUGCCGGGACUGAAAUGAAUAGAAUUUAACGACCUUUGCGAGGAACGAUUGGAGGGCAAGUCUGGUGCCAGCAGCCGCGGUAAUUCCAGCUCCAAUAGCGUAUAUUAAAGUUGUUGCAGUUAAAAAGCUCGUAGUUGGAUUUCUGGCAGAGUGUCCUCCGUCCAGCAGUUCGUUUGGUUCGGAGCGCUCUACCAUCCUUCUGUUAACCUUUCCGGGAUUUACUUUUCGGGCUGGGGCUCAGAUAUUUUACCUUGAGAAAAUUAGAGUGUUUCAGGCAGGCUAUUCGCCGGAAUACAUUAGCAUGGAAUAAUGGAAAAGGACUGCAACCUCUUCUGUUGGUCUGGGAGGCUGAAGUAAUGAUUAAUAGGGAUAGUUGGGGGCAUUAGUACUUUCCAGUCAGAGGUGAAAUUCUCCAAUUUGGUAAAGACUAACUUAUGCGAAAGCAUUUGCCAAGGAUGUUUUCAUUAAUCAA
rnacentral:rRNA from 1 species